rnacentral:rRNA from 1 species
ACGGGAGGCAGCAGUGGGGAAUAUUGCACAAUGGGGGAAACCCUGAUGCAGCGACGCCGCGUGAGUGAAGAAGUAAUUCGUUAUGUAAAGCUCUAUCAGCAGGGAAGAAAAUGACGGUACCUGACUAAGAAGCCCCGGCUAACUACGUGCCAGCAGCCGCGGUAAUACGUAGGGGGCAAGCGUUAUCCGGAUUUACUGGGUGUAAAGGGAGCGUAGACGGCCGUGCAAGUCUGAUGUGAAAGGCUGGGGCUCAACCCCGGGACUGCAUUGGAAACUGUAUGGCUGGAGUGCCGGAGAGGUAAGUGGAAUUCCUAGUGUAGCGGUGAAAUGCGUAGAUAUUAGGAGGAACACCAGUGGCGAAGGCGGCUUACUGGACUGUAACUGACACUGAGGCUCGAAGGCGUGGGGAGCAAACAGGAUUAGAUACCCUGGUA